GGGUCUGUGGGCUAGCUUGGUUAAACUCCGUGGUUCGGGACCACGGGUCUCCGGUUCAAAUCCGGACAGACCCACCA
rnacentral:tRNA from 1 species